GGCAAAGUAACAGUUCUACACACUAAGCACCAAAAGCAAAGGGGCAUCAAAUAAGGAAACUUGCACAAGCUUUCCCAAGAUAACUGAAUUCAACCCAAACACAGGACUGACAUCAGUGCAUGUCUAUAAGGCAAUACAUGAGAGCGUGUGUAUGUGCAGGUGUUGGUAUUUGUUGUGUUUUGCGUAUGUACAGGUGUUGGUAUCUGUUGUGUUUGGCAUAUGUGUGGGUGUCGUAUCCGUUGUUUCGUGUAUGUGCGGCUGUCAUAUCUGUUGUGUUUCGUGAAUGUAUCCACAAAUAGAUUACAAGCAGACAAGUACAAAGUAAGCCAUAUUUAUUUGUUCCUUAUGGAAUUACUACGAAGGACUUGGCACCAAUUGAAAAUGUUUAUAUAGAUAAAACAUUAAUCAUGAGUAGAAUAUGGAACAACAGACAACAGAUAAGUCAUUUGAAGAGGUUC
rnacentral:misc_RNA from 1 species